rnacentral:rRNA from 1 species
GGACCAAUAUGUCGGUCGUGCCUCGGUACGUACUGGCAUCGUUGGUUUCUCCCUUCUGACGAACCAUGAUGUCAUUUAUUUGGUGUCGUGGGGAAUCAGGACUGUUACUUUGGAAAAAAAUUAGAGUGUUUAAAGCAGGCUCACGCUUGAAUACAUUAGCAUGGAAUAAUGAAAUAGGACGUUUGAUUCUAUUUUGUUGGUUUCUAGGAUCGACGUAAUGAU